AGGUAACCAAAUUAAAUAAGCACGGGAUUGAAUAGAUAAUUAACAAAAAUCAAAACAAUUGAAGAGAGAAUAAAUUAAUUAACUAAAAAUAGGAUCCAUCAUUGUUUCAAGAAAAUUAAGCUUAGUCAUGUUGAUUUGAGAAAAUCACAUACAAAAAAAAAAAGAUUCACAACAAACUUGCAUCGAUACAAAGUAAAAAGCAAUAAUCUAGAGAGAAAAAUAAUUAUCGAAUUGAUGUCGAGCAUUAUGGAUCUCUUUUUCUUCUCAUCUAUACAAGCUUGAAGUUCCCCUUAGUGUGAGAGAAUUGUUUAUUAGCCUCCAAGUUUAUUCUCUUACUCUUUUUCCCCUCUUUUUCCUUAAAUCACGUCACCCCUUAAUUUUAGGGUUCUAAUCGUUCUGCUCCACUGAACAUAGAAUUAUGUGGAGUAGAUUGCUUGCUGUUUGAAAAUUCUAAAUUAAAGAUUGUGCUCCACCGCACUGAAAUCCGGUGGAGCGGAAAACUUCUCUUCAUUACUUUUUUACUCUAUGCUCCAAGCCUUCCGUUCUUUAUUCGAAAUCUACAACAUACAGAGAAAAAUAGCAACUAAUCCGGAAUAACUCUAAAAAUGAUUUUUUAAAAAACAUAAUUAAUCUGAAAAACUAUAAAAUGCACUAAAAAUUAAUCUAAAUGCUAAAAUUACCUACUAAAAUGCUAUAAAAACUAUACUAAAACAAAUCUAAAGAUGAGAGUUAUCACUUCACACUAUUUUUUUAAUUUUAUGAAUGUUUUAUUUUUUAAUUUCCAAAUAUUUUAUAUAUUUUAAAUUAUUUUUUACGUGGCAUAUAGACAAACAGUACUAUGUCAGUAUAAACUACAUGUGGACUGACACACGGGUUGUCAUACCACUAUCAUUAAAAAUUAAUAUUCUAAUUAGCAUUUCUAUUAAACAAACGAUUUGACUUAUUUUGUAACAUCUUGAUUUUGGGCCUAGUCGGAAUAGUGGUUGCGGGACAACAAAUCUGACAUUAAAAAAUUUAUAUUAUUAUUUUGAUGUCUGCAGUAUGAUACUAAAGUUGUGUGAAAUUUUCAUAAAGAAAUUUCCUCAUUUGAGUGCUUAAUUUGAUAAAAAUGACUAAAUCACAGAAGGAGCAAAACUUGAGGUCUAAUUGAUAAAUGCACUAAAUAGUUAAAUCAAGUUAGCACGAUUCCGAAAAUAUAGAAAUAAUUAAAAACGAGGUAAAAACCACUCACCUAUCAAGCUCCAAAGCUUGGCCGAAUGAAAUCCAUUCCAUGGCUGCCAUUUUUUUUUCUCUAUUACGG
rnacentral:lncRNA from 1 species